rnacentral:rRNA from 1 species
CAGCGACUUAUAUUCUGUAGCAAGGUUAACCGAAUAGGGGAGCCGGAGGGAAACCGAGUCUUAACCGGGCGUUAAGUUGCAGGGUAUAGACCCGAAACCCGGUGAUCUAGCCAUGGGCAGGUUGAAGGUUGGGUAACACUAACUGGAGGACCGAACCGACUAAUGUUGAAAAAUUAGCGGAUGACCUGUGGCUGGGGGUGAAAGGCCAAUCAAACCGGGAGAUAGCUGGUUCUCCCCGAAAGCUAUUUAGGUAGCGCCUCGUGAAUUCAUCUCCGGGGGUAGAGCACUGUUUCGGCUAGGGGGCCAUCCCGGCUUACCAACCCGAUGCAAACUGCGAAUACCGGAGAAUGUUAUCACGGGAGACACACGGCGGGUGCUAACGUCCGUCGUGAAGAGGGAAACAACCCAGACCGCCAGCUAAGGUCCCAAAGUCAUGGUUAAGUGGGAAACGAUGUGGGAAGGCCCAGACAGCCAGGAUGUUGGCUUAGAAGCAGCCAUCAUUUAAAGAAAGCGUAAUAGCUCACUGGUCGAGUCGGCCUGCGCGGAAGAUGUAACGGGGCUAAACCAUGCACCGAAGCUGCGGCAGCGACACUGUGUGUUGUUGGGUA